UACGUAGGGUGCAAGCGUUGUCCGGAAUUAUUGGGCGUAAAGAGCUCGUAGGCGGUCUGUCGCGUCUGCUGUGAAAAUCCAGGGCUCAACCCUGGACCUGCAGUGGGUACGGGCAGACUAGAGUGCGGUAGGGGAGAUCGGAAUUCCUGGUGUAGCGGUGAAAUGCGCAGAUAUCAGGAGGAACACCGGUGGCGAAGGCGGCUCUCUGGACCACAACUGACGCUGAGGCGCGAAAGCUAGGGGAGCAAACAGG
rnacentral:rRNA from 1 species